AUAGGAGGCAUCGCUACAUUGCGUAAAUUUAGAAGAAACCAGUAUAUUUCAAGAUAAGUUUAAUUUUAAAAACACAAAAAAUAACUUUGUUUACUUAUUUCAGUUGAUAUUGACUUUAAGAAUCCAGCUGGAUUCUUAGGAACUGAAGCUAGUGUUCUGGAAGCACAAUUUAUUGAGAGUAAAAAAAAUAGAGCUAAGGGAAAAUGCAUGUACCUACUUAGAGAUAAAAAAAAUAAGCCUGUACUUAUCACUUAGGUUUACUUUUUGUCGCAUGCUCUAAUGUUUUGCGUUGGAACCCUAAUUGAACCGCAUGUAGUUCUUACACCUGCUAUUUGCGUGUUUGGAGAGAGAUAAAUUUCAAAUAUUUGCUGGUACACAAUAGAAUAUGCAGGUAUUGAGCGAAUGGUGCAACAUGUAGGUAUGUAUUCAUCGAGGUAAUUAUUUAGUUUGGCUCAGGUAUUAUGGAAUAUUUUAACUUUGUGGGCCUGCUAUUGUAAAUUGUCUCCUACACGUUAUUUUACCAAAACUUUUUUAUUUUUCCAGGUUAUAAUCACACAAUGGUAUUUAAAGAGUGCUCUGCAUCAAAUUUAGCCCUGCUAGUAUUAAACCGACAAUUCUCAUUUCAUCAUCGUGAGUCUGGUUCAGACUUUGUUUUUGAUAGAUUGCGAUACGCAUCAGCACCAAAGGGCUACAGACGAAACGAACCUAAUAUCUGUCGUCGUUACUAUGGAUGGGGUAGUAGAAGAUCUGUGAGGAAAUGAUAGAUACAGCUUAAACAGUUCAUUUGACUAUGAAUUUUAAUAAAUAUAGUAAAAUAAAAUGAAUAACAUAAAUGUAAUAACAUUUGGAAUUACAAUGAAUUUUUUUUGUGCGUACAACAGUCACCAUGCAGUACACGGUCAUUUGGUGCUUUAUGUCCAGACGAUAUCGGCUCAGUUAUCGAGUGUUCCGGAUUUAUCAAAGGCAUGAUGAUAAUUAUCAAGACUAGUUGAUCGCCCUUGCGGUUUUGGAUUUUUGGAUAUGACUAAAUACUGUGUAAAUACUAUAAGUUCCUAACGUGUGGCGUUGAUGAUGCUAGGGAGAUUGUAGAGCAUGAUGCAUUUAUGACAUUAGACGUCUCAACCUUUCCUCCCCCUCCUACUCCAUCAGUUAUUACGGUACCUAUAGAAGAAGAUAGAGAAAUUACAGAGGAAGAAGAAAUCACUACAAAUAAUGAAGAUUAUCUCAAUAAAUUAAAAGAAGAACAAACAAAGAAUGCUGAACAAAAAACUAGUUCGUUGUUUGACGACUAUAUUCAUGUUACAGAAGAUGUAUCUGUAGAUGAGACUACUACUGAUGUAAGUGUAUUAUCAGAUUCGAGUGAAAUGGACCUUGGAACUCAAUGGAAAGAUAUUGGCUUCCAGCAUAAAAAAGGAUUUGGAAAAAAAAAAAAAGAUUUAAAGGAAAACAAGAUUGAUUCGAUAACUGUAAUAAAACUAUACCUACUUAUAAGAAUUGUGUUUUUAUUCUAUUUCAACCUUAACUAGGUAUCUAAUUUUGUCAAGUCUAAAAUGUACAGAUACGACUAUUUACACAUUUUAAGUUAUAAAUAUAAGUAAAUGUAGGUAAGGUAUCCUACCUAAGCAAUGCAAGUCAGGUUAUCAGGUGGAGUCAAAUGUGGUUUACCGCUAGCUGGCAACUGGCAAGUCUUGUCCUCAUCGUUUUCCGUCCAUGCCCAUCAGAAACAUGAACAAUAUAUUUUUAA